GCUACGGGAGGCAGCAGUGAGGAAUAUUGGUCAAUGGACGAGAGUCUGAACCAGCCAAGUAGCGUGAAGGAUGACUGCCCUAUGGGUUGUAAACUUCUUUUAUAAAGGAAUAAAACGAGGCACGUGUGCCUUUUUGCAUGUACUUUAUGAAUAAGGAUCGGCUAACUCCGUGCCAGCAGCCGCGGUAAUACGGAGGAUCCGAGCGUUAUCCGGAUUUAUUGGGGUUAAAGGGAGCGUAGAUGGGUUGUUAAGUCAGUUGUGAAAGUUUGCGGCUCAACCGUAAAAUUGCAAUUGAUACUGGCAGUCUUGAGUACAGUUGAGGUAGGCGGAAUUCGUGGUGUCGCGGUGAAAUGCUUAGAUAUCACGAAGAACCCCGAUUGCGAAGGCAGCUUACUAAACUGUGACUGACAUUGAUGCUCGAAAGUGUGGGUAUCAAACAGGAUUAGAUACCCGUGUAGUC
rnacentral:rRNA from 1 species